CAAGGUCAGGUUAAUGAAACGUUGUGACCACAUUUAAUUCAAUUGUUCAUUCAUACUCCUUCAAUUUUACUCUCCUAUGCUACGGUUACAAACGAAUUAAUAAAAAAAAGAGAAAAGUUUCUAAAACACAACUGUCUGAUACCACUGAAGACAUGGAAGUAAUUCAGAGAAGAGUAUCCAACAACAAAAGAAAAAAAAUUGUAUCGCCAA
rnacentral:lncRNA from 1 species